rnacentral:rRNA from 1 species
UGGGGAAUAUUGGACAAUGGACCAAGAGUCUGAUCCAGCAAUUCUGUGUGCACGAUGACGUUUUUCGGAAUGUAAAGUGCUUUCAGUUGGGAAGAAAAAAAUGACGGUACCAACAGAAGAAGUGACGGCUAAAUACGUGCCAGCAGCCGCGGUAAUACGUAUGUCACGAGCGUUAUCCGGAUUUAUUGGGCGUAAAGCGCGUCUAGGUGGUUAUGUAAGUCUGAUGUGAAAAUGCAGGGCUCAACUCUGUAUUGCGUUGGAAACUGUGUAACUAGAGUACUGGAGAGGUAAGCGGAACUACAAGUGUAGAGGUGAAAUUCGUAGAUAUUUGUAGGAAUGCCGAUGGGGAAGCCAGCUUACUGGACAGAUACUGACGCUGAAGCGCGAAAGCGUGGGUAGCAAACAGGAUUAGAUACCCUGGUAGUCCACGCCGUAAACGAUGAUUACUAGGUGUUGGGGGUCGGACCUCAGCGCCCAAGCAAACGCGAUAAGUAAUCCGCCUGGGGAGUACGUACGCAAGUAUG